GAUGAACGCUGGCGGCGUGCCUAAUACAUGCAAGUCGAGCGAACGGACGAGAAGCUUGCUUCUCUGAUGUUAGCGGCGGACGGGUGAGUAACACGUGGAUAACCUACCUAUAAGACUGGGAUAACUUCGGGAAACCGGAGCUAAUACCGGAUGAUAUUUUGAACCGCAUGGUUCAAAAGUGAAAGACGGUCUUGCUGUCACUUAUAGAUGGAUCCGCGCUGCAUUAGCUAGUUGGUAAGGUAACGGCUUACCAAGGCAACGAUGCAUAGCCGACCUGGGAGGGUGAACGGCCACGCUGGAACUGGGACACGGUCCAGACUCCUACGGGAGGCAGCCGUAGGGAAUCUUCCGGAAUUGGCGAAAGCCUGACGGAGCAACGCCGCGUGAGUGAUGAAGGUCUUCGGAUCGUAAAACUCUGUUAUUAGGGAAGAACAUAUGUGUAAGUAACUGUGCACAUCUUGACGGUACCUAAUCAGAAAGCCACGGCUAGCUACGUG
rnacentral:rRNA from 1 species